rnacentral:rRNA from 1 species
AUUCCAGACUCCUACGGGAGGCAGCAGUGGGGAAUAUUGCACAAUGGGGGAAACCCUGAUGCAGCGACGCCGCGUGAGCGAUGAAGUAUUUCGGUAUGUAAAGCUCUAUCAGCAGGGAAGAAAAUGACGGUACCUGACUAAGAAGCCCCGGCUAACUACGUGCCAGCAGCCGCGGUAAUACGUAGGGGGCAAGCGUUAUCCGGAUUUACUGGGUGUAAAGGGAGCGUAGACGGCGGUGCAAGCCAGAUGUGAAAGCCUGGGGCUCAACCCCGGGACUGCAUUUGGAACUGUGCUGCUAGAGUGUCGGAGAGGCAGGCGGAAUUCCUAGUGUAGCGGUGAAAUGCGUAGAUAUUAGGAGGAACACCAGUGGCGAAGGCGGCCUGCUGGACGAUGACUGACGUUGAGGCUCGAAAGCGUGGGGAGCAAACAGGAUUAGAUACCCGUGUAUU